GACGAACGCUGGCGGCGUGCUUAACACAUGCAAGUCGAACGGAAAGGCCCUGCUUUUGUGGGGUGCUCGAGUGGCGAACGGGUGAGUAACACGUGAGUAACCUGCCCUUGACUUUGGGAUAACUUCAGGAAACUGGGGCUAAUACCGGAUAGGAGCUCCUGCUGCAUGGUGGGGGUUGGAAAGUUUCGGCGGUUGGGGAUGGACUCGCGGCUUAUCAGCUUGUUGGUGGGGUAGUGGCUUACCAAGGCUUUGACGGGUAGCCGGCCUGAGAGGGUGACCGGCCACAUUGGGACUGAGAUACGGCCCAGACUCCUACGGGAGGCAGCAGUGGGGAAUAUUGCACAAUGGGCGGAAGCCUGAUGCAGCAACGCCGCGUGCGGGAUGACGGCCUUCGGGUUGUAAACCGCUUUCGCCUGUGACGAAGCGUGAGUGACGGUAAUGGGUAAAGAAGCACCGGCUAACUACGUGCCAGCAGCCGCGGUGAUACGUAGGGUGCGAGCGUUGUCCGGAUUUAUUGGGCGUAAAGGGCUCGUAGGUGGUUGAUCGCGUCGGAAGUGUAAUCUUGGGGCUUAACCCUGAGCGUGCUUUCGAUACGGGUUGACUUGAGGAAGGUAGGGGAGAAUGGAAUUCCUGGUGGAGCGGUGGAAUGCGCAGAUAUCAGGAGGAACACCAGUGGCGAAGGCGGUUCUCUGGGCCUUUCCUGACGCUGAGGAGCGAAAGCGUGGGGAGCGAACAGGCUUAGAUACCCUGGUAGUCCACGCUGUAAACGGUGGGUACUAGGUGUGGGGUCCAUUCCACGGGUUCCGUGCCGUAGCUAACGCUUUAAGUACCCCGCCUGGGGAGUACGGCCGCAAGGCUAAAACUCAAAGGAAUUGACGGGGCCCCGCACAAGCGGCGGAGCAUGCGGAUUAAUUCGAUGCAACGCGUAGAACCUUACCUGGGUUUGACAUGGAUCGGGAGUGCUCAGAGAUGGGUGUGCCUCUUUUGGGGUCGGUUCACAGGUGGUGCAUGCCUGUCGUCAGCUCGUGUCGUGAGAUGUUGGGUUAAGUCCCGCAACGAGCGCAACCCUUGUUCACUGUUGCCAGCACGUUAUGGUGGGGACUCAGUGGAGACCGCCGGGGUCAACUCGGAGGAAGGUGGGGAUGACGUCAAGUCAUCAUGCCCCUUAUGUCCAGGGCUUCACGCAUGCUACAAUGGCUGGUACAGAGAGUGGCGAGCCUGUGAGGGUGAGCGGAUCUCGGAAAGCCGGUCUCGGUUCGGAUUGGGGUCUGCAACUCGACCUCAUGAAGUCGGAGUCGCUAGUAAUCGCAGAUCAGCAACGCUGCGGUGAAUACGUUCCCGGGGCU
rnacentral:rRNA from 1 species